rnacentral:rRNA from 1 species
GAUGAACGCUAGCUACAGGCUUAACACAUGCAAGUCGCGGGGCAGCAUGGGGGUUGCUUGCAAUCCCCGAUGGCGACCGGCGCACGGGUGAGUAACGCGUAUCCAACCUGCCCUUCACCACGGGAUAACCCGGCGAAAGUCGGACUAAUACCGUAUGUUGUCCAUUGACGGCAUCCGAUUUGGACGAAAGGCUUGGCGGUGAGGGAUGGGGAUGCGUCCGAUUAGCCAGACGGCGGGGUAACGGCCCACCGUGGCUACGAUCGGUAGGGGUUCUGAGAGGAAGGUCCCCCACACUGGAACUGAGACACGGUCCAGACUCCUACGGGAGGCAGCAGUGAGGAAUAUUGGGCAAUGGGCGUAAGCCUGAACCAGCCAAGUAGCGUGCAGGAUGACGGCCCUAUGGGUUGUAAACUGCUUUUAUGCGGGGAUAAAGUGGCCCACGUGUGGGCUUUUGCAGGUACCGCAUGAAUAAGGACCGGCUAAUUCCGUG